CAUUUCCAUCAAUAACUCUUCAUUCCCUUCUCUUCUCUUUCUCUUCAUUUUCUUCAGCCAUGGCCAAGGACUCUGAUACCGGAGGCUUCGCCGCCAAGGACUACCACGACCCUCCACCGGCCCCUUUCAUCGACCCCAAUGAGUUCACUCAGUGGUCGUUUUACAGAGCCAUCAUCGCCGAGUUCAUCGCCACUCUCCUCUUCUUGUACGUCACUGUUCUCACUGUCAUUGGCUACAGUAGCCAGUCCGACAUUAAAAACGGCGGCCAAAUCUGCGGCGGUGUCGGCAUUCUCGGUAUCGCUUGGGCCUUCGGUGGAAUGAUCUUCGUUCUUGUCUACUGUACCGCUGGAAUUUCCGGUGGGCAUAUCAAUCCGGCGGUGACAUUUGGGCUGCUUUUGGCUCGGAAAGUGUCCUUUGUGAGAGCUGUUUUGUAUAUGGUUGCUCAAUGUCUUGGUGCCAUUUGUGGAUGUGCUUUGGUUAAAUCGUUUCAAAAGGGUCUUUACAAUCGCUACGGCGGUGGAGCAAAUUCUCUCGCCGACGGUUACAGCACCGGCACUGGCUUAGCCGCUGAGAUCAUCGGAACUUUCGUUCUUGUCUACACUGUCUUCUCUGCUACAGAUCCCAAGAGAAACGCUAGAGAUUCUCACGUUCCUGUUCUAGCUCCACUGCCAAUUGGGUUUGCUGUAUUUAUGGUUCAUCUAGCCACCAUUCCGGUCACCGGCACCGGCAUUAACCCGGCUCGAAGCUUUGGUGCUGCAGUUGUACUCAACCAGAGCAAGCCAUGGAAUGACCAUUGGAUUUUCUGGGUUGGACCUUUCGUUGGAGCUGCAAUUGCUGCAUUUUAUCAUCAAUUCAUAUUGAGAGCUGGAGCUGUUAAAGCAUUGGGAUCUUUCAGGAGUACUCAUAGUGUUUGAUGAUUUUGUUGAUGGGAAGAAAUGGCUUGGAUUUGGAUCUAAACGUUGACGGACAUGUCUGGAUGGGGAAUCAAGGAACAGGGGAAUUAGGGAUUUUCGUCUCAUUUGAAGCAGAAAUUUACAUCUCUUGAUAUACUUUUAACGGUGUAUUUUGUGGAAAUGCUUUAAAAUUUUAGAGACAAAAUUGUAAAUUUAUGAACUAAAUUUAUAAUAACGUAUUAUGUAUGAAACAAUA